rnacentral:rRNA from 1 species
GACAGAGGUGCCGAGCGUUUAGGCGGAAUCACUGGGCUUAAAGCGUGUGUAGGCGGAUCGUUAAGUGCCUUGUGAAAUCCCACGGCUCAACCGUGGAACUGCUUGGCAUACUGGCGAUCUUGAGCCACUUAGGGGCUACCGGAACAAAUGGUGGAGCGGUGAAAUGCGUAGAUAUCAUUUGGAACGCCAAUGGUGAAAACAGGUAGCUGGGAGUGUGCUGACGCUGAGACACGAAAGCCAGGGGAGCAAACGGGG